GUCGUGCAUUCAUACUGUACGUACAAUGAUGAGCCUUACCUUGAUUGCAGCUUUACUCUUCAGUCUGCUGUCUGUCUCAGUGUCUGAGUUUCACACCGUGGAUGCUCAACCUGGUGAAGAAGUCACACUGCUGUGCUCCAAUUUCACCCUUUUCCCCUUGCACAUAACCUGGUUCAGACUGAACAGCACAUCCAACACCAGCAGAAUCUCCUCUCUGUCCAGCGCCGAUAAGAAAGCUUUUUUCUUUGGUGAAUUUCAAAACAGCAGCUUUGACGUGACAUCCAACAGCACUCAUCUGUUUCUCAAGAUGAAACAGGUGGAUUUUAGUCACUCUGGACUUUAUUUGUAAGUGCAACGUACUUCAAAGUUCAAGAAGCAUUCAUUGGUAGAGACAGCUAUCUGAAUAUGAUCCUGGGUGCUCUGGUUGUUUUCCUCUCUGCUGUCAUCUUUACUCUGGUUGUACUCAUCAGAAAACCUCAAACAGCGCGUAAAGAGGACCAGGAUCCACAGCAAAGUGAG